rnacentral:tRNA from 1 species
GAUCAGCUCAGUUGGUUAGAGCAAGGUGCUGGUAACACCAAGGUUGUGGGUUUGACCCCUGCGUGGGUCA